GUCCACGCCAUAAACGAUGAGAACUAGAUGUUGGGAGGGUUAGCCUCUCGGUGUCGCAGCUAACGCGUUAAGUUCUCCGCCUGGGGAGUACGGCCGCAAGGUUGAAACUCAAAGGAAUUGACGGGGACCCCGCACAAGCGGUGGAGCAUGUGGUUUAAUUCGAUGCAACGCGAAGAACCUUACCUGGUCUUGACAUCCUCGGAACUUGUCAGAGAUGACUUGGUGCCUUCGGGAACCGAGAGACAGGUGCUGCAUGGCUGUCGU
rnacentral:rRNA from 1 species